rnacentral:lncRNA from 1 species
CCCCAGUGCCAUGGCACCAGGAGGGCUUUGUUCCAAACCAACUUUGAGCUGUGAGUAUUAUCAGAGGCCCCUCCCCUGCCUGGAGGCCUUUCGGAAACUACUUUAUCUCUUGCAGGUCCUUUUCUGGAAAGGUCAAAGGGAUGAGAGGGGUCUCUGCAGUGUCCUGGAUCUGGUUUCAACCUCACCUUCUCCAUGUAUGAGAAGACAAGUCACUUGGAUUCACCAUGCCUCGGUUUCCCCAGAUGGCAAGCAGGACUCAGCCUUUUGUACCUGGUCCAUCAGAGGACGAGCUUUCACGUGUUAGCCAACACCUCCGUCAUCACCAUCAUUGCCAUGAUCAUCGUCCUCAUCACCUUGACACGCUGAGCUUUGUAGCUUAAAAACAAAAUGCCUUUAACAAUGUGCAACAGGUCUAAGAUGCCACCUUUGGGAUCAGAUGGGAGUUUGGGAUUAUUUCUAUUUUCCAAUUGUUCAGCCCCCUCCCACUAAGUGCGAAGCGGAGAGCCAUUAAGUUGCAAUGGAUUUGAUUCACCACGUGGCCCCUCAAAUCCUUUCUGGAACAAGAUUGGAUGUAAAAAUAAAUCAAAUAAAUGCAUUUUCAGCGUGUGCAGCCCAGCCCAGAGCUCCUUGCAGAUGACUUCUUCCUUUCAAGCAUGUGCCCAGCCAGUGCCACUAGGAAAGUGUCAAAGAGAAAAGCCGGCUCUGGCCCCGGGUUGCAUUGGAGCAGUGGAUUGAGCUCUUCAACUCUCAGCACUUCAACACUCCGCUUGUCCCCUAAGGGUUUUCUGAAGGUCACUGAUGCUGGCAGGAAGUGUGGAAAAAGGAUGUUUAUACCUGGGGCCGGGAGAUGGCCUCUCUCAGGCUGGGAGAGACUGGCAGAGCUGCCUGAUAAUGAGAACAAUGCCAUCCACACCAUUGUGAGCACACGGUAAGCCUCAGGCAUGUGGUACACCUGAGAGGCGCUUCUGUGUCUCCUGGAUUGUUUAUGACAAUCAUGACAAGCAGCCACUGCCUUCCCAUUUCACAGCCAAAGGAAGCAUGGUGUGGGCAGAUGCAGUUGCAGUUUGUCUCCAAGGAAGGAAAGUGGCUGAGUUGUAAGUGGCUGAGUUGCAGGCUGGACUUCGGUCCAUAUUAUUAUGGGUUGAACUGUGUUCCUCCCCCCAGAU